GGGUUGUGGCUCAGUGGUAGAGCACUUGCUUAGCAUGUAUGAGGCAUAGGGUUCAAUUCUCAGUACCA
rnacentral:tRNA from 1 species